GCCUUAGUGGUGCAAUUGGAAGCAUACUCGACGCGCAUUCGAGAGGUCCAAGGUUCGAGUCCGGGCGAGGGCA